AUUUAUAUAUAGCGUUGCUAUAGAAUGUCCAGAAUCCUCAAACAACACUUAACAUCGUUUAGAAAGCGUCGGGCUGCUUAUGACAACCAGAUGAAGUGAUGAGGCGCGUCACCCUCGAUCGGACGCUGGAUCCAAACAACAGCCGUAAAGGACGUUUGGGGGACCGAGGGAGAACACUGCCUUUGGAGUCAGUCAGAUCUAAGUUCUGAUGAACCUCUCAACUUGGUCGGACUGUCCUUCACCCCAUUUCCCCACUGGUAAAACGGGAAACAUACCCUCAGAGGAUUGUGAAGCCCGAGUAGGAGCACCUAGCAGAGGGCUGAGGCACUCGGAGGCAGGAGACAUAUAUAGUAAGAAGUUGCCACAGCCAAUGUCAGGUUACUGCCCAUGUUCUCCGUUUUAGAAAACAUCCUACACAACAGUGGAACACGCAUACCCGUCCCCACACACACUGUCAUCAGGAGGAAAAGGCUCAAAAGAUACGCAACAGCACCUGACACCAUCUGAUACACUUCCUUCCGCACUUGUAAGCUGUGAAGCCUUCCUCGAACCAGCAGGUGGACUGUGACAGGGGCGGGGACUGCCUCUGUACACUCAGUUUAACCUGUGACCAAUGGCUGCCACAUGGUAGGCGCUCAACAAAUGUAUUUAUUGAAGUAAAUGAAUAAUGAAGAAAAGGGAAUUUUACAGAAACAUAAGGUCUUCUGUAUUUUGAAAUAUCAACAGUGAACUAAUAAGAAAUCUGGUUUCAGUCAGAAUGAGGUAAAGACUGAUCAAAGAAAGAAUUGUCUCAAGUUCACAGGAUUACAACUGGAGUCCCGAAGAGAACACAGGAGUAAACAU